rnacentral:rRNA from 1 species
CCUACGGGUGGCUGCAGUGAGGAAUAUUGGUCAAUGGGCGGGAGCCUGAACCAGCCAAGCCGCGUGAGGGAAGAAGGUACAGCGUAUCGUAAACCUCUUUUGUCAGGGAACAAAGGCGGGGACUAGUCCCCGGAUGAGGGUACCUGAAGAAAAAGCAUCGGCUAACUCCGUGCCAGCAGCCGAGGUAAUACGGAGGAUGCGAGCGUUAUCCGGAUUUAUUGGGGUAAAAGGGUGCGCAGGCGGCCUGUUAAGUCAGCGGGAAAAGCCCGGGGCUCAACCCCGGCGAGCCGUUGAAACUGGCGGGCUGGAGUUGGAGAGAAGUACGCGGAAGGCGCGGUGUAGCGGUGAAAUGCUUAGAUAGCGCGCAGAACCCCGAUUGCGAAGGCAGCUUACCAAGCUACUUCUGACGUUGAGGCACGAAAGCGUGGGGAGCAAACAGGAUUAGAUACCCGGGUAGUC